CACCUCUUGCAAACUAUAAGAGGCACCGCCUGCCCUGUGACGAAAGUUUAACGGCCGCGGUAUUUUGACCGUGCAAAGGUAGCGUAAUAACUUGUCUUUUAAAUGAAGACCUGUAUGAAUGGCACGACGAGGGCUAAACUGUCUCCUCUCCCCAGUCAAUGAAAUUGAUCUCUCCGUGCAGAAGCGGGGAUACCCCCAUAAGACGAGAAGACCCUAUGGAGCUUUAGACACCAGGGCAGACUACGUCAACAACCCUUUCAGCCAAGGAAGGUAAACUAUGUAACCUCUGCUCCCAUGUCUUUGGUUGGGGUGACCAAGGGGACCUACACAACCCCCACGCGGAAAGGAGCAUACCGACCCGAAGCUAGAGCCACAGCUCUAACUAACAGAACUUCUGGCCACAGAGAUCCGGCAGCGCCGAUCAACGGACCGAGUUACCCUAGGGAUAACAGCGCAAUCCUCUUCUAGAGCCCAUAUCGACAAGAGGGUUUACGACCUCGAUGUUGGAUCAGGACCUCCUAAUGGUGCAGCCGCUAUUUAGGGUUCGUUUGUUCAACGAUUAAAGUCCU
rnacentral:rRNA from 1 species